rnacentral:rRNA from 1 species
UACAGAGGUCCCAAGCGUUGUUCGGAUUCAUUGGGCGUAAAGGGUGCGUAGGCGGCGCGGUAAGUCGGGUGUGAAAUCUCGGGGCUUAACUCCGAAACUGCAUUCGAUACUGCCGUGCUUGAGGACUGGAGAGGAGACUGGAAUUUACGGUGUAGCAGUGAAAUGCGUAGAUAUCGUAAGGAAGACCAGUGGCGAAGGCGGGUCUCUGGACAGUUCCUGACGCUGAGGCACGAAGGUCAGGGGAGCAAACGGG